GACUACCGGGGUAUCUAAUCCUGUUUGCUCCCCACGCUUUCGUGCAUGAGCGUCAGUGUUAACCCAGGGGGCUGCCUUCGCCAUCGGUGUUCCUCCACAUCUCUACGCAUUUCACUGCUACACGUGGAAUUCCACCCCCCUCUGCUACACUCUAGCAACACAGUCACAAACGCAGUUCCCAGGUUGAGCCCGGGGAUUUCACAUCUGUCUUAUGUCGCCGCCUGCGCACGCUUUACGCCCAGUAAUUCCGAUUAACGCUCGCACCCUACGUAUUACCGCGGCUGCUGGCACGUAGUUAGCCGGUGCUUCUUCUGCAGGUACCGUCAUUAGCCGACUUUAUUAAAGCCGACCGUUUCGUUCCUGCUGAAAGAGCUUUACAACCCGAAGGCCUUCUUCACUCACGCGGAAUGGCUGGAUCAGGGUUGCCCCCAUUGUCCAAAAUUCCCCACUGCAGCCACCCGUAGG
rnacentral:rRNA from 1 species